ensembl:lncRNA
UUUUUUUUUUUUUGGUACCGGGGAUCGAACCCGGGUCCUUGCACUUGCACAGCAGGCAGCGAAACCACUGAGCUAAAUCCCCGGCCCAGCUGUCUUAUCUUUGAAGCAGCAAGGAAUGGAAGAGCUGAGUAGGAAAGUCAUCUUUUCAUCGUUUUCUUCUGUUAUUAAAGGUAACCAGAGCACUCAGUACAGAAAACCUGGAAAACGCAUAAGGAGACACAAAAUGACAAAAAAUAACAAGCCCACAUCCAGAACCACCCUUUUGACAUAUGGUGUAUGUUUUUCCAGGCUUUCAUUCCCUGUUUGUCUCUUUCACACAUUAGGAAAUUUUGCUUUCCUGUGGGAAGUCUGGCCUCCGCCCUCAGCUUUGAGGAGAGGACCCAGCACAGUGACCAAGAACAUGAAUUCUAUGUCUCCAUCACCUAGUUUCACAUGCCAGCUCUCACCUGCCUGCUGUGUGACCUUGGGCAAGACAGGUAAGCUCCCUGGGCUUCAGUGUUGUCUCUUGUAAAGUGUGCCUAAUGCGGAAGCAUUGUGAGCGUGACCUAAGUUAAUGCUUGCAAUGUUCCCAGAGAAGUACUUGGUUCCAAGUGUAUUGGUCGGGAGGAGAGGUUUAAUGGGCUCAGGGGAUGCAGUCCAUGGUCGGUUGCCCCAAGGCAGGAACAUCAUGGCGGAAGGGCAUGGUGGAGCAAAGCUACUCAGUUCCUGGCAGCUGGCAAGCAGAUCAGGGAGCAGAGCCUGAAAGGGAGGGUAGAGAGACCAGCUGAAGUCCCCAAGGCUGUGCCUCCAGGACCCACCCUGACACUCCCAGUAUGCUUUACUAAUCCCUUGGUGGUCCCCAAGUGAAUCCAGUUGACAGUUAAGCUUAACUAUCAAAGGGUUUGGCACAUCCUUGUCACAAGAGCAGCCCAUUUGGGGGACAGCACCUUUGGCUAUGCUGGUCCCUUACUGUUGGCCCUGCAGUUGGUUCCUAGUUUUUCCCCAUCCUAAAUAAUGUGGCUACAAUGUUUCUCAGUGUCUUUGAGUAUGUCUUUGGUUAUUUUAUGAAAAUAAAUUCCCAGAAAUGGUAUUUCUGGUUUAUAAAUAAUGCAUGUGGCAGAUCAUCCAAGUGUGUACUAAAGAAUGUGCCGGCAAAAUUGGCAGGGACAAGAAAGAGACAGGAGUCCCUGAGACCUUGGGAGGAGAACAGGGGAACAUGGGCACAGCCUAGGACUAGGAAAUGUGCUUUAGUUAUGGUUGUGGGGCUGCCCAUUUGAUGUCCUGGGGAUGUGGUCCUUGCCCUUUGGAGCUUUGGCCUUGUUGCCCAAAUUCUGGUCCUUGGAGAAUCCACCACCUUUUGUUUGUGUCUCAGAACCAGCUAUGGCAUAAGGUGAGGUAAGGUAAGACUUUGAAAUAUAUUUGCUUUUAAAAAAAUAAACACAUUUUUAAAAAUUAAUUAAUUAUUAAUUUGUUUUUUUGUUUGUUUUUUUUGGUAGCGUGAUCGAACUUGGAUCCUUCCACUUUCAAGGCAGGCAGCGGGACCACUGAGCUAAAUCCCUGGGCCCUGUUUUUGGUUUUUUUGUGAGACAGGAUCUUGCUAUGUAGUUUAGUCUGGCCUUGAAGUCACUGUGUAGCCCCAGCUGGCCUUGAACUUGAUGUGAUCUUCCUGCCUCAGCCUCCUGAGUGCUGGGAGGGCUCUGAGGUCCAGGCCUGCGCUUUGGUUGUUGGAGAGGGGUCCUCAAGUGAGCUACAGAGGUGGGAAAGGCUAAGGAGCACUGAGCUGAUACCUUCUCCUUAUUAUAAUUGGAAGGGCAGGAAGAAAACAGAAGGGAGAUUUUAAUUUUUAUUUAAACUAAUUGAUUUUUUUAUAAGCUGGGAGCGUGGGGUGGAGGAAGCUCGCAAUUUUCUGUUGAAGGAUCAAUCUAUGCAUUUUCUCCUACAUUUGUGCCUAAACCAUCAAGUCCCUGACUUUGGGAAACGCCAGCUGCCCCUACUCAGAAGAUCGUCACCCUCACCUUACCAAGAGGGCCCCUAACUGUUGCCCCCGGCUGGUACUGAGGAGCAGAGGAGUGGCCAGGAGGGGGAGCUGGGGCUUCUGGCUGGAAUGUCACACUGACUCCUCUGUCCCAGGGACAGGGACGGCCCCAGCACCAGGCAGCUGCAUCCUGGUCCGUCUUGGGCACACCUGCCCGUUCGACCGGGAUCUGGAGCCAGCCCCAAGUACUGACAGGCAGGCGGCUGGGCACCCUGGAUCACAGGGACCUGAUGAGGACAAGAGGCAGAACUUGAAGCACUGAUCCACUUGUCUGAGCCCUCAGAUGGAGACCAGAGAGAUUGGGCUGGGCAUGGGCCUCAUUCCCUGACACCAUCUACUAGGGUUUAUAUCUGGAUGUCCUCCUAAAGCCUCAUGUGACCAUUGUGGGAUCUUUGGAAGGUGAUUGGAUUAUGGGAGUUUAUACCUGACUUGCUGGGAGGAGGUGGGGGUGGUGGGAAGAGCUGAGUCACUGGGGGCAUGACCUGGAAGGGUGGGUUUCCCUCCCCGGCUCCACCCUCAUUCUCUCUUUGCUUCCUGGGUGCCAUGACUGGGUGCUUCCACCUGGCCCCUCUGCCUUGGAGCUGCUGGACCAUGGACUGAAACUUUACAAACUAUGAGCCAAAAUAAAGCUCUCUGCCUUCAAGUUUUAGGUGUUGGGCAUUGUGUCACAGUGACAAGGAAAGUGACUAAGACACCAUCACAUGGGGGUUGAGACUUCAGCAUAUGAACUUGGGGGUGUCUCAUUCAGUCUACAGCAGUAGUGGUGGUGAAAGCUGUCAUUUCCCACCCCUCCAAGCACAGAGGAGUCUUCAGUCCCCAGCCAAUUCCUAAAAUCCAAGCCCCUGACCUCAGCUCCCCCAUCCAGCGGCCCCAGGUACCCUCUGCCCCAUCAGCGAGCCUGCUCCAUUCAUUGAGAAUUCACAGAUGCUGUUUGGACAGUGAGAGUGAAAACCAGCAGGUCCAUGAGAGUGAUCCAGGGCUGUCCAGGAUCUGGCUUACAUGUGACCCUGCCACCUGCUCACUCUGGGGCCUCACCCAACUUCCUUAACCCCUCGAGCCUUUUCAUUUGUAUGAAAGGAGUCAUCACAAUCUCCAUCUUGGU